rnacentral:lncRNA from 1 species
CUUAACUUGUGGGCCGGCCCAUGAUUAAACAAACAGGGUUCCAACAAACUGACCUACUUCUAGGGCAAAGUCGCAAUCUGGAGUGGAAACUGCAAGGGAGCGAAGAAUCGAUGGAAUUAUAGGUCGGUCAAAAUCGAAACCAUUUGGAAGAAAAUGCAAACAAAUUGUUGUUUAAUUGCUUAGUUUGUAUUUGGGUGCGGUCAAUUCCCACAAUUUUUUUAAAUUAAAUCUCUUAAUUUUGAUAUGAAUUUACGGUUUAUUCUUUCACAGCCUCUAGGCCAUCUGGAACAAAAUGCAAUUUUUUAUUUUUUUUAUAUUUAAUUGUAUGUAAGUUGCUAAAGUUUCAUUCUUUUUUUGUAUUUGAGGUAUGUGGAUAUGUGAUAUUUCGCUGCCAUGGUACGUAAAGUUGUCUUGUCUUCAAUUUGUUUUCACAUGAUAGCAG